rnacentral:rRNA from 1 species
UGAAACCGCGAACGGCUCAUUAGAACAGCUAUAAUUUACUUGAUCUUGAACAGUUACUCGGAUAACUGUGGUAAUUCUAGAGCUAAUACGUGCACCAAAGCUGUUCCUUCGGGAGCAGUGCAUUUAUUUGAGCAAAACCAAACGGCUUCGGCCGUCUCUGGUGAGCCAGAAUAACUAAGCUGAUCGCAUGGGCUUGUCCCGGCGACGUGUCUUUCAAGUGUCUGCCUUAUCAACUUUCGAUGGUAGUGUAUCGGACUACCAUGGUGUUGACGGGUAACGGAGGAUAAGGGUUCGACUCCGGAGAAGGGGCCUGAGAAAUGGCCACUACGUCUAAGGAUGGCAGCAGGCGCGCAAAUUACCCAAUCUCGGUUCGAGGAGGUAGUGACGAAAAAUAACAAGGCCGUUCUCUACGAGGCCGGCCAUUGGAAUGGGUACAACUUAAACCCUUUAACGAGUAUCAAUGAGAGGGCAAGUCUGGUGCCAGCAGCCGCGGUAAUUCCAGCUCUCAAAGUGCAUAGAACCAUUGCUGCGGUUAAAAAGCUCGUAGUUGGAUCUGUGCCGGUGACGUGGUUCACUCGUAAGGGUGAUACUGCGCUCACUGGCUUUGGACCGGUCUUCGCGGUCGGUAGUCUUUAUUGGCUGCCGCCCGUGGCUGGUUGGUUUACUUUGAGCAAAUCAGAGUGCUCAGCACAGGCGUCUUGCCGGAAUGUUCGUGCAUGGAAUAAUAGAAAAGGAUUUCGGUCCUCUUUUGUUGGUUUUGUGGACUGAGAUAAUGGUUAACAGAGACGACCGGGGGCAUUCGUAUUGCUGCGUGAGAGGUGAAAUUCUUGGACCGCAGCAGGACGAACUACAGCGAAAGCAUUUGCCAAGUGCGUCUUCAUUAAUCAAGAACGAAAGUCAGAGGUUCGAAGGCGAUCAGAUACCGCCCUAGUUCUGACCGUAAACGAUGCCAACUAGCGAUCCGCCGGUGGCCCUUAGGCCCUGGUGGGGAGCUUCCCGGAAACGAAAGUCUUCCGGUUCCGGGGGAAGUAUGGUUGCAAAGCUGAAACUUAAAGGAAUUGACGGAAGGGCACCACCAGGAGUGGAGCCUGCGGCUUAAUUUGACUCAACACGGGGAAACUCACCCGGCCCGGACACCGUGAGGAUUGACAGAUUGAUAGCUCUUUCAUGAUUCGGUGGUUGGUGGUGCAUGGCCGUUCUUAGUUA